rnacentral:lncRNA from 1 species
UUAGAUUCCUCAAUUUCAUAUUCAGUACUGAAGAACUUUCAUUUAGGCGGUGCCUCCAAUAUAUCUCUUUAAUUUCUCAUAUAUUCUGAAAGCUUACGGACUCAUCUCUUAAUUGUUCUUAAAUUUUGAACCCUUCUCCGUUUCCCUUAUCAUCUUGACAUAAAACUAAAUCUCAAUUUGGUUAAUAGAGACUAGAAUUCCUAGAAAUCCAACAAUCAAAGGGACCUGC